rnacentral:pre_miRNA from 1 species
AACAUACUCUUUCCGUCCGAAAAAGCUUGUCCUUCAAAUGAAUUUAUCUAGUACUAAUUUGGUGCUAGAUACAUCCAUUUGGGAGAUAAACUUUUUCGGACGGAGGGAGUACAUG